AAACCUGGAAGAUCUCGUAUGGAUGGCACGGUGGGCGGCCGUCCUGCGGGAGGCCGAGCGGAGGGGCAACGUCGUCGUUGGCAACGUCUUCUCCGGCAGCGACGUCGACGGAAGAGCUGGCCGUGUGACAGCAGAUGAUCUUUACCUCUUCGCGCGUACUGUGGACUGGUUGGCAUGGGGCAUGCCAUGUUUCAACUUCUUGGUUGGCCUGUGCCCGUGGAACGAACUUCAUUUCCUCGUGUAGUUCCGUGUGUACGUGAUGUGAGCGCCGUGUUGUGCAUCUGUAAAAGGGCCAACAAAAUUGCCAUUUACUUGAGUUUUGAGUUUUUAGAUCAUUAGGCUCUUAAAUCGAUGAGAAUUGCUAAAAAAAAAGACACACGGCCAGCCCAUUUCCGCCAUUAAAAAUCUUAUUGGAGGUCGGCCUUACGGUGAAACCAACAACAAUGGCACGCCUAGUUUGUCUUAUCCAGUCCCUAUCAAAUCCUUCAGCCAGUAUAGUCAUUCGAAAUAAAGAAACAAUCUGUUAUCACAGUUGUGAAUCGUGAUCAGUAGCGUACCCUGUUUGCGCUUCAGCCAUGACAGAAG
rnacentral:lncRNA from 1 species